CACGUAGGGGGGCGAGCGUUUGUCCGGAUUUAUUGGGCGUAAAGAGCUCGUAGGCGGCUUUGUAAGUUAGAGGUGAAAAGCCCCGGGGCUCAACUCCGGAAUUGCCUUUAAGACUGCAUCGCUAGAAUUGUGGAGAGGUAAGUGGAAUUCCGAGUGUAGAGGUGAAAUUCGUAGAUAUUCGGAAGAACACCAGUGGCGAAGGCGACUUACUGGACACAUAUUGACGCUGAGGUGCGAAAGCGUGGGGAGCAAACAGG
rnacentral:rRNA from 1 species